CGGACAGCAAUAUGAAGGUCAGGCUGAAGACCUUACCCGAUUAGCUGAGAGGUGGUGCAUGGCCGUCGUCAGUUCGUACUGUGAAGCAUCCUGUUAAGUCAGGCAACGAGCGAGACCCACGUCCACAGUUGCCAGCAUACCCUCCGGGGUGAUGGGUACACUGUGGAGACCGCCGCUGCUAAAGCGGAGGAAGGAGUGGGCAACGGUAGGUCAGUAUGCCCCGAAUCUCCCGGGCUACACGCGGGCUACAAUGGUUGGUACAAUGGGCAUCUACCCCGAAAGGGGAAGGAAAUCUCUUAAAGCCAAUCGUAGUUCGGAUUGAGGGCUGCAACUCGCCCUCAUGAAGCUGGAAUCCGUAGUAAUCGCGUUUCAACAGAACGCGGUGAAUACGUCCCUGCUCCUU
rnacentral:rRNA from 1 species